rnacentral:misc_RNA from 1 species
GAUGAAGAACGCAGCGAAAUGCGAUAAGUAAUGUGAAUUGCAGAAUUCAGUGAAUCGUCGAAUCUUUGAACGCACCUUGCGCCCUUUGGCCAUUCCGAAGGGCAUGCCUGUUUGAGUAUCAUGAACACCUCAACUCUCAUGGCUCGCCAUGAUGAGCUUGGAUUUGGGGGUCUUGCUGGCCUGUGGUCGGCUCCUCUCAAAUGGAUCAGCUUGCCAGUGUUUGGUGGCAUCACAGGUGUGAUAACUAUCUGCGCUUGUGGUUUUCCAUCAGAUAACCUUCAGUGAUGGAGGUUCGCUGGAGCUCAUAAACGUCUCCCCUAAGCGGGGACAGCCCUUUGAAUGUUUGAUCUCAAAUCAGGUAGGACUACCCGCUGAACUUAAGCAUAUCAAUAAGCGGAGGA